GCUAAAACCCCAUAUGCCCCUGGGUGAAAAAGAGGAGAUAAGUAAAACUGAAUCACCUCUGCCUGAAGAGAAGCUCGCGGCUGAUUAGCUAGUUGGUAGGGUAAAGGCCUACCAAGGCGACGAUCAGUAGCUGGUCUGAGAGGACGAUCAGCCACACUGGAACUGAGACACGGUCCAGACUCCUACGGGAGGCAGCAGUGAGGAAUUUUCUGCAAUGGGCGAAAGCCUGACAGAGCAAUACCGCGUGAGGGAUGAAGACUUACUGAGUUGUAAACCUCGGUGCCUUAAGGAAGAAGAUCUGACGGUACUUAAGGUGGAAAGCAUCGGCUAACUCCGUGCCAGCAGCCGCGGUAAGACGGGGGAUGCAAGUGUUAUCCGGAUUUACUGGGCGUAAAGCGUCUGCAGGUGGUUUCUUAAGUCUGCUGUUAAAUCUUGAGGCUCAACCUCAAAUCUGCAGUAGAAACUAGGAGACUUGAGUAUAGUAGGGGUAGAGGGAAUUUCCAGUGGAGCGGUGAAAUGCGUAGAUAUUGGAAAGAACACCGAUGGCGAAGGCACUCUACUGGGCUAUUACUGACACUCAGAGACGAAAGCUAGGGGAGCAAAUGGGAUUAGAUA
rnacentral:rRNA from 1 species